UCUCCACCUGGUUCACGACAAUUCUUGCUGGGAGCCCUAUUGCCUCGAACAUGGCAUCCAACCCGACGUGAUACAUCCAAAGGUGUUGCACACGACGCUCUUAAUAUGUUCCCUAGCGAGACCGCCGGGUCGAGCAAGCAUGUGUAUGCGGCUAUAGUUGUUCAUUUGGACCAACUGUGAAUGAUGAAGUUAGAACCGGAGCCUACCGACAAAUCUUUCAUCCCGAGCAAUUGAUAUCCGGACCAGAAGAUGCUGCCAAUAAUUUUGCUCGAAGAGACUAUACAGUUGCCAGACACCGGCGAUGGGAGCUAACCACGCUUAGUCAAGUCCCCCCUUCCUGAGCGCUGAUGGCGGUAACGAUGGGACGAGGUUGACCUACUAUAUCUCUUGCAGAUUUGUUGAUGUCAACAGGUCGUGACACGUGGUAGUCCGUUUUUCCCCUUAUAACAUCAGCCCCACUUCGCGAGUUCCGAAAUUUAUUUCCCAACUUCAUAAAGGGCAAUCGUUGUUCGCCACGUGGAACCUUGAGAUUGUGACACAUUGGGACAUGUGGCACAUUCAGUGGGUAAUGGUGUUUGCUGUGAGCACUGGUGGGGGAAGUCUAAAGGGGCGACGAUUAUUCUUCUAGCACAUAUACGUCAUUGGCUGUGCCGCAUAUCUGACGGCUAUCGUUGUUUCGAACAUCUAAACUCUUUCCACUUCAAUCGGGCUGUUAUUGUGCCUUAGAUCAUGCGGUCUUGGUAUGUCGCCUUC